rnacentral:rRNA from 1 species
UACGGAGGAUCCGAGCGUUAUCCGGAUUUAUUGGGUUUAAAGGGUGCGCAGGCGGGAGAUUAAGUCGGCGGUGAAGUUUUGCAGCUCAACUGUAAAAGUGCCUUCGAAACUGGUUUCCUUGAGUGUAGAUGAAGUAGGCGGAAUUUGUGGUGUAGCGGUGAAAUGCAUAGAUAUCACGAGGAACUCCGAUUGCGAAGGCAGCUUACUAAGCUACUACUGACGCUCAGGCACGAAGGCGUGGGGAUCAAACAGGAUUAGAUACCCUGGUA